rnacentral:tRNA from 1 species
CGGAGCGUGGCGCAGCAUGGUAGCGCGCGGCGAUCGGGCCGCCGAGGUCGUGGGUUCAAAUCCCGCCGCUCCGA